GCGUCAGUAGUGCAACAGGUUAGAGCACGUGCUCCUGAAUAGCGUGAGAUACAGGUUCGAGUCCGGUCUGACGCC